GGUUCCUAUGGGGAAGAGUGGGGAAAUAGCUAACUCCAUGUUUACUGUGAUAUUGCAGGGCCUUUUAGAACCAGCUAGUACCUUCUAAUUAAUGAGGUGAAUAUGGCAACUUAAACAUUGAAACUCAGCAAGAAGUUACAUCAAUCAAGGUUUAACCAGAGAAGAAUCUAUAGAAUCAAUACAUCAAUAAAUGGAAUUUAUUUUAAGGAAUUGUCCUAUAAGUUUGUGGGGCUAGAAGCCCAGAAGAAAAGAUCACAGGGUGGAAGAAUCAAUGGGAAGAAAUGGUGUUCAGUCUGCUACUGCAAUAGUAACAACAGGGCUAGAGUCAUGGACAUGGAAUUCUUGAAGGAAACUGGAAGUGAGGGGCUGACUCUAGAACACUGGAUGUAAAAUACCCACUGCUGGAAUUCUGAAGUGGAGAAAAGGAAAAAUACAAUUGUCUACCACCAGUAUUUUCAUUGACCAAACCCUGUUGUAAACUAGAUGAUAAAGUCUAAGAAAUUGAAUCUGCUCACAGAUAAAAUCAGGUCAGCAUGAAGGACCUCACCCAUUAGACUGAAAAAUAAGCAACUUUUCUUGGCUUCAUAAGGUACCAGAAGAAAGAAAGCACUGUUGCCCCAAGAUUGGAAAGACAGGCAGAUAGAGCCAGACUCAUAAGCAGAAAUUGGGAACCAGUGCUGAACAGGAAAACCUUGACUGUUGUUGAAUUACUGGAGCUUGUACGGAAAACCGAAGUUUAAAAAAGAAAAUACAGGGGGAAUCGGUAUUGUGAGAUAAACCUAUGUAAGCUUAACCAGAUUUCCACAAUAAAUAUUGGAGAAAAAUUCCCUUAGACUUCCCACAGUGAAAGGGGGGAAAGGAAUGAUCUUGAAACAUGGCCAGAGCAUUUUGUUCUGUUAUUCUUAACUAGUUUCCCCUGAAGGAGGGCCCUGAAAACUAAAAUCGGCCGCUGGUGUAUUAUUAGAACCUAACUGACCUGGGGAACGGAAAUACCCAAUUCCAGCCCAUUCUAGUCAAAUUGUUCCACCUAAAAGAAGGAAAAAAAUCUGAGAAUCAUUUGCAAAAUUCAGUCCAGAGGCCCAUGGAAAGAGUUAAUCAUAGCAGUAUAGAAUGUUCAUCCUCCCUUAAAACCACAUCACUAAAUGGCUAUGUAUAGCAUUUCCUUUUACCUGAUACCUCAUGUUUAUCAAGAAAAAAAGUGACUGUUUUACAAUAUAUACUAAUGUUGAAUUAUAUUGUUUACGUGAAACUAAACUGUUAUAUGUCAACUGUACCAAAAUGGGAAAAAAAAAAAAACACAACACAAUUUCAGCAGCAUUUCCAAUUAACAAGUCUGUUGCCCCCUUGAUUAAGUUUAUUUCUACAUAUUUUAUUGAUGCUACUGUAAAUAAAA